GCCCGCCGACUUCCGGCCGGCAGGUGGGCGCGCGCCGCAUAACGAUCUUAUGCGCCGACGGUCGGCAGGCGGCGGCGGCGGCGGCGAGUGGAUGGAGGCCUCGGCCCCCGGCCGGCGGCGGCGGCGGCGGCAGGGCUGGCGGCGGGCCCCGGCCGCGGGCUCCCCGCUCACCUGGGCCGCGGUCGUCCUCCUGCUCUCCGCCUUCGUGGCGCGGGCGUCCCCGUCAGUUGGAUCUUUGAUUCGAUUACCAAGAGGUUUUCGCUUGACCCAAGAUAAGGUGAAAAUAGUGGGAUCAUCAAAUUUUCCAGUGAAAGUAUAUGUUAUGCUUCAUCAAAAGAGUCCACAUGUGUUAUGUGUUACGCCACGACUACGAAAUUCGGAAAUGAUAGAUCCAUCAUUCCAAUGGCAUGGGCCAAGAGGAAAAAUUAUUUCAGAGAACAGCACUGCACAAGUCACAUCCACAGGAAGCCUUAUAUUCCAGAACUUUGAGGAGGGCAUGAGUGGAGUGUACACAUGUUUCCUGGAGUAUAAACCGACUGUGGAAGAAAUUGUUAAAAAUCUUGAACUAAAAUAUGUUAUAUAUGCUUAUCGUGAGCCUCAUUAUUAUUACCAGUUCACAGCUCGAUAUCAUGCAGCUCCCUGCAAUAGUAUCUAUAACAUUUCUUUUGAGAAGAAACUUCUUCAGAUUUUAAGCAAAUUGGUUCUUGACCUUUCAUGUGAAGUUUCUUUACUGAAGUCAGAAUGCCAUCGUGUUAAGAUGCAAAGAGCUGGUUUGCAAAAUGAAUUGUUCUUUACAUUUUCAGUUUCAUCUCUAGACACUGAAAAAGGACCUAAGCCAUGUGCGGACCAUAGUUGUGAAUCUUCCAAAAGACUGUCUAAGUUUUUUUUACUGUGUCGAGGUGAUUUUUUUCCAGAUGCUAAAAAUCUUAUAGAGAGAUUUUUUAAUCAACAAGUAGAAGUUCUAGGCAGACGUGCAGAGCCAUUGCCUGAAAUAUACUAUAUUGAAGGUACUCUCCAAAUGGUUUGGAUUAAUCGCUGCUUUCCAGGGUACGGAAUGAAUAUACUGAAACAUCCAAAAUGUCCUGAAUGCUGUGUUUUAGGCCAUUACAAAUAAAGCUGCUAUGAACAUUCCUGUACAAGUCUUUGUGUGGACAUAUGUUUUCAGUUCUCCUGGGAAAAUACCUAUGACUGCGAUUGCUGGGUCAUACGUGAUCUGCAGCCCUGGGUCUUAUAACCCCCGUGAUGGAAACCAUUGCCUUCAAUGCAAUAGCAGCCUGGCGUUUGGAGCAAAAGCAUGCGUAUAGGCCAUGAGUUUGAGAGCUCUAGUGGUUUGUUAAACACAAAAGUAUAUUUUUGAAAUAUUAAUACAUAAUAAAUCACUAUUAUGCCAAAAUUAAAUAUAUUAGAUUUUACAAAAUACGGUGUCAUCAUUUUAAUUGAAACAUUGCGUGUCCAAAUGCUUUACGAAUGGAGCACCCACUGAUCUUUAUACACUAAUGCCAGAACUACGUAUGACUUCAGAAUAUUCCUUAGAUCACUGUUUUUUAAAAAGGGUUUCAAAUAUACUCUGUUGGUGUUAGCCCAGAAGAUUUUUCAGGAUUAUAUUAAAACAGCCCAUUCUCUUUUCAGUAUGUUGACUAAUCUCAGGCCACCAUAUUCUUCCGUAAUCAUUUUAAUUCUAGCUUGUUUCCUUCCUUUGAUUCUAUGAGGUUUUAUUUCUUCUAGUGUGACCUUUCAUAGUUGAAGGUCACUUUUUAAGAAGCCUGUGCAUCUUAUGGUUGCAACUUUUAGCCACUUCAGUGUAAGGCCAGGUCCCAGCAACUCGAUGGGUUUGUAAUGUAGUUCAGGGUGGCAGUCUUCCCCUUUUUGGUUUGGAGGCCUUUAAAUUACCUUUCUGACAUUUUAGAGUGGACUAACCAUUGUAUGUGCCUCAAUUAACCUUUCAACUUUCACAGUGUGGACAGAGAGAAAUUAGGCAGUUUCUUGCCCUGAUGACACCUCCAGGGAAAAGUACCAAACGAUCACCGUAUCUUUCAUUGCUUUCCUUUAUCAUUAAAGUGUUACAUCACAGAUACUUCUGCUGCCAGCGCCGCACCCCCUCUCACACUGGGGUGCUGUGUUUGAAUACGAAAAAUUACCCAAAACCUCAGGGCUUAAGUACCCGAAAAAUGCACGAGCAACUUACAGAAGUAGUAGUUUCUCAAUUGUUUUAUUGUUUCAUUUGCAUUUGUAACACUUUAUAUUCUCUUGGACAUUCCCUGGUUUUUUCCCUUCAUGUUUCCUUUCUUAAGAUAUAAACAUUUGUAAAUGGCAAAUAUACACAGGUGGGAUCUAGGCACAACUGUGCAUUGACAGGGAAAAAGUUUACUUGUAUCUAGGAUCUAUUUGACUUUUUAAAAUUGACCAGUAGUAAAUUAGUCUCUCGUUUGGUCAUGCUGUGGACAAAUAUUACCCUGGGAUUCUCACAUAAGUACAAAGGGAAGUGAAACGAUGUUUCUUUGUUAGCCUUGGUGAUCUUUUUUAAAAAAUUCCUUGUGACUCAUAAUCUUGACGUAAUUGUUUUCAUGUGUUUUUAGAGGUUUUUUUCUUUAAAAAUCUUUCUUUGCUGUAGUAAGUCACAUGUUUGCCAUUAUACUGUUUGGGUGGGCUAUGGUUCUUACAGUACAUGUCUUUUGUAACUAGUAAAAGACCUCCUAAGUCUCCAUCUCUAAAAGCAGUGCAGCCUGUAAAGCUUUCUGGAUUUCUUAAUUGUGUAAUAAGAUGAACUGAAAUACGUCUUCUUUAGUACUGCCUGAGUUUGGAUUAACUUUUUUCCUGGUAUUUAAAAAUGCUGAGGAACUUAACUUACGAAACAUUUUCCUGGGGAUGCACAGUAUCAGCUCAAUAGCUAGUCAGCCUGGGGAAGCAGAGCAGAGUUACAGUGGUGAUGCAAUACUGGAGACCGGAAUCCAGUCCAGGAGAGAAGGUGGUCUGGGAUAAGAGUAGACAGACAAUAGGGGAGUCGUGGGAGUGAGGCAUGGAAGUGUCCUAUGAGUGUAAAUACCUACUUCAGUAAUUAAGGUAACUGCUUCCUCUGUUAACAUAUAAUGUAGACUGUUGGAAAUUGUUUUAAGUGAUGACAGUGUGUAGGGUAAAAAUUACAAACUAAUCCCUGAGAGAGAUUAUUGUCAUAAUGCAGUUUCAAGUGUUUGUUAUUUUUGAAUAAUAUCUUACAUUUAUAUAAUGCCUUAAUUUUAACAAAGCAUUUUUUAACAUUAAAACAAUGUGAUGUUUACAUCAACCUGCAAAGCUAGGGCAAAUAUGAUUCCCAUUUUAUAUUUUAUUAAUCAGAUUUUUUUCUUACUGUAAGUGUGUAAAUGUGUAUUCAUUUGGCAAUAUGUAAAAAGAGCCUCAACAGGGUUGAUCCAGGAAUGUCACUUACAGGAAACUAUCUUAAGAAAGUAAAUCAGAAAUCAGGUGGAAUGUCAUGCCCAAUGGUAUUGACAUCCACAUUCUGUAUAACAAUGAAAAUGGAAUUAACAUCGAUGACCUACAAGAGUGAAGUGGUUGAAUAAAUUGUGCUAUUUCCAUAGGAUAGAAUGUUCUGUACUAUUCCUUAGAGUUUUGAAUCAAAUGAACAGUUGUUUUAUGUAACAGGAUCAUGUGGGAGGUUUUUUUGGUAUCCUCUGUUUCUCAAACUUCCUACAAAGAAACAAAUUACUUUCAAAAUCUUGGAAGCAAUAAACAUACUUGGAAAAAUUAAAAUAGUCACAAUUGGCAGAGGACAUUAUUGCUCACCUCUCCAGUAUGAGUUUGCUUCUGCCCUUCU